UUGACAAUACCAGUAGCUGAAAUAUUUCCUAUAUAGAUAGAUCUCACGUAGCAUGGCUAGAAAUAAUGCAAGAUUUCACACAAUGCUUCCUCAGCAUUCCAAAACCUGAUUCUCAACUGAAUAACCUCAGCAGUUCAGAAGGUAUUUUAGCCACCACCGUGAUUAUUCAUUUCUUGGCUUUC